rnacentral:rRNA from 1 species
CCUACGGGAGGCAGCAGUGGGGAAUUUUGGACAAUGGGCGCAAGCCUGAUCCAGCAAUGCCGCGUGCAGGAUGAAGGCCUUCGGGCUGUAAACUGCUUUUGUACGGAACGAAACGGUGAGCUCUAAUACAGUUUGCUAAUGACGGUACCGUAAGAAUAAGCACCGGCUAACUACGUGCCAGCAGCCGCGGUAAUACGUAGGGUGCGAGCGUUAAUCGGAAUUACUGGGCGUAAAGCGUGCGCGGGCGGUGAUGUAAGACAGAUGUGAAAUGCCCGGGCUCAACCUGGGACCUGCAUUUGUGACUGCAUCGCUAGAGUACGGUAGAGGGGGAUGGAAUUCCGCGUGUAGCAGUGAAAUGCGUAGAUAUGCGGAGGAACACCGAUGGCGAAGGCAAUCCCCUGGACCUGUACUGACGCUCAUGCACGAAAGCGUGGGGAGCAAACAGGAUUAGAUACCCUGGUAGUCCACGCCCUAAACGAUGUCAACUGGUUGUUGGGUCUUCACUGACUCAGUAACGAAGCUAACGCGUGAAGUUGACCGCCUGGGGAGUACGGCCGCGAAGGUUGAAACGUCAAAGAUAGUAGCGNGNGNGNGNGNGAGACGNGAGGAGGNG